rnacentral:rRNA from 1 species
GACAGAGGUGCCAAGCGUUAGGCGGAAUCACUGGGCUUAAAGCGUGUGUAGGCGGAAUUGUAAGUACCUUGUGAAAUCCCACGGCUCAACCGUGGAACUGCUUGGUAUACUGCUUUUCUUGAGCCACUUAGGGGCUGUCGGAACAAAUGGUGGAGCGGUGAAAUGCGUAGAUAUCAUUUGGAACGCCAACGGUGAAAACAGACAGCUGGGAGUGUGCUGACGCUGAGACACGAAAGCCAGGGGAGCGAACGGG